GCCGAAAUAGCUCAGUUGGGGAGAGCGCUAGAUUGAAAAUCUAAAGAUCCCUGGUUCAAAUCCGGUUCGGCA
rnacentral:tRNA from 1 species